rnacentral:piRNA from 1 species
UAGGAUGCAAAUCAGAAUACUGAGUGUCUC